rnacentral:rRNA from 1 species
ACUAAAGCAGACAACGGAUGUCUUGGCUGUUUGAGCCGAUGAAGGACGUUGCCGUCAACGAAAAACGUCGGGGAGGUGACAAGCAACCUGCGAUCCGGCGGUGUCCGAAUGGGGAAACCCCCUCUUUUGAGGAUUUUGUAUCGUUUGGUACAGGAGGGGAACCAUCUGAACUGAAACAUCUCAGUAAGAUGAGGAAAAGAAACCGCGUCUAACGCGGGAUUCCGUCAGUAGCGGUGAGCGAAAGCGGAAAAGCCUAAACCCAGAUUUUUCUGGGGGUUGCGGGGCAGAAAACAUGGGAUUGGUUAAGGAUAGAAGAAGACCUUGGAAUAGGUCGCCAAAGAAAGUGAAAGUCUUGUAUUCGAAAUCCAAAAUCACCCUAUUCUGUUCCCAAGUACCACGGGACAAGGCGUCUUGUGGGAAUCUAGCUAAUCACAGGCUAAGGCUAAAUACUUAAACAGACCGAUAGUGUACUAGUACCGUGAGGGAAAGAUGAAAAGUCCCUAUAAAAGGGAGUGAAAUAGAACCUGAAAUUGUCUGCUAACAAACAGAGAGAGUCCGGCUUCGCCGGAUAAUCUCGUGCCUAUUGAAGAAUGAACCGGUGAGUGUUUGAUGACCGCUUAGUCUUAGCCAGUUUCUGGCGGAGGCGUAGCGAAAGCGAGUCUUAACAGGGCGAUUUGGCGGUUUUCAGACGACCCGAAACCGGGUGAGCUAACCAUGAGCAGGGUGAACUUCGAUUAACAUCGUAAGGAAGGCCCGCACCAGUGUUUGGUUCAAAAAGCUUGGAUGACUUGUGGUUAGGGGUAAUAUGCUAAACGAACCCGGAGAUAGCUGGUUCUCCCCGAAAUAUAUAGAGGUAUAGCGUUCAUCAAAAUUGGCACUGGGGUAGAGCACUGAAUGGGCUUGGGGCGGCAACGUCUCAUGUUCAAUCAAACUCCGAAUACAGUGUCAAUCUGAUGGGCAGUCAGUCUUGCCGGGCUAAGCUGGUGAGACAAAAGGGAAACAGCCCAAACUCUCAUCUAAGGUCUCUAAUUUUACUUAAGUGUUUUAAGGAAGUAAGAUUGCUAAAACACCCAGGAGGUUGGCUUAGAAGCAGCCAUCCUUUAAAGAAAGCGUAACAGCUCACUGGACGAGGAAUCUUGCGCCGCAAAUUCAGGAGGCUAAAGUAAAUACCGAAGAUGGAGGUGCGAUUUAUCGCGCGGUAGGGGAGCGUCGAUAAAGCAGUGAAGCCAAGCUGUAAGGCGAGGUGGAGCUUUAUCGAGUGAGAAUGCCGGUAUGAGUAGCGAAAGGCCGAUGAGAAUUCGGCCCGCCGAAUGUCCAAGGUUUCCCACGUAAUGUUCGUCAGCGUGGGGUUAGUCGGCCCUAAGGCAAGCCCCGAUUUUAGAUCGGGGGUAGUCGAUGGUUGGCAGGUUUAUAUUCCUGCACCUUGGUUGUAUCGUUAGAUCACACUUUGUGUGAUGAUUCACUUUGUGAAUGCAGCUAGGGAGUGACGAGAUUUGAUAAGUAAGGUGUCUUAUUGAUUUGACAUUGAGGCAACGAGUCAGUUUUGGUUGGAAAAUCCGCCAGAGCGACGGCAAGUUGAGUCAAAAGUCUUUUGGCAACAGAGGGCGAUCUUACUGGAUUAAGUUUCCAAGAAAAGCUUCGUGGCGAGAGACAACCAAGUCCGUACCGAAAACCGACACAGGUGGACUGGACGAGAAGUCUAAGGCGAACGGGAGAAGGGAGUUUAAGGAACUCGGCAAAAAAUCUGGACGUAACAUUUGGAGAUGUCCUACCUUAUUAAUUAAGGUCACAGCAAAAGAGUGCUUACCGACUGUUUAACUAAAACACAGGUCUGUGCAAAAGCGAAAGCUUAAGUAUACGGGCUGAGGCCUGCCCAGUGCUGGAAGGUUAAGGGGAGCCACUUGUGGUGAACUGAAGCCCCAGUAAACGGCAGCAGUAACUAUGAAAAGUCGUAGUUGAGUGACCCAUUGUAUUUGGUCACCAUCGCACAAGCGAUGAAAAACCUAGCUAUAUGCUGGAAAAUCCGUACCGUAACAAACGGUUGAAGUAUCUGACGUUACCAUGUUAAUAUUUUAUUAUAUGGUAAAAAUACGAUCAGUGCGGACAAUCAGCAGGAAAGGUUUUAGUCGGGAAGAAAAAGGAUGGUUUUUAGCUGGAUUCGUCGAAGGUGAAGGAAGUUUUAAUGUUUCCUUACGAAGAAAGAAUGAUUAUAAAUUAGGUUGGCAAGUUGUUUUAAGUUUUAAUGUUUCUCAAAAAGAUAAAGAAAUAUUAGAAUUACUUAAAAAAGAAUUGAAUUGUGGAAUUAUUAAAGUAAGGAAGUUUGACAAUCUUCAUUCUCUUGAUAUUACGAAUCCCAAUGAAAUUAUCCAUAAAGUCAUACCAUAUUUCCAAAAAUUUUCUUUAUUUUCUUCUGGUAAAAGAAAGAAUUUUGAAAUUUUUUGUCAAAUUACUAAUUUGAUGAAAAAGGGGAGUCAUAGAACAACUAAUGGCUUGAAGAAAAUUCUUAAAUUAAGAGAAGAAUUGAAUAAAGGGAAGGCGAGAAAAAGGAAAUAUGAAUAUGAUGAUGUUUUUCCGAUUAGAAAAUCCUCAGAGACUAUAUGCUAGGAUCCC